UGAUCAUUUUAAGUGUUGCUUUUACUUCCCAAUAGGCUGACUACAGUGGCAGAACCCUCAUAGGAAGCAAAGACCACAUGGAAAGGAGGAAAAGGCCAUGACAGAGUAGGUGAGCCUGGGGCUGCAUUAACCUUCCACUCUGAACAUUCAGUAACAGGAAAGAAGAUCCUGGGUCAUGUGAUAGAGAGAACAUCACUUCUGUGAUAGUCCCAACAAAAUGCAUAACCUGAAUCGAAUCAUGAGGAAACAUCAGAGAAAACAAACUUGAGGAUAUUCUACAGAAUAACCAGCCUGUAAUCUUCAGAUAUUGAAGUCCACAAAGAUCAGGAAUGACUGUUGUUCUGAGUUGAGGAAACUAAAGAAAUCUGACAAGGUUGCCCAGGUUGAAGUGCAAUGGCAUAAUCGUGGC